rnacentral:rRNA from 1 species
UACGUAGGUGGCAAGCGUUAUCCGGAAUUACUGGGCGUAAAGCGCACGCAGGCGGUCUUUUAAGUCUGUCGUGAAAGCCCCGGGCUUAACCUGGGAAUUGCGAUGGAGACUGCAAGGCUUGAAUCUGGCAGAGGGGGGUAGAAUUCCACGUGUAGCAGUGAAAUGCGUAGAGAUGUGGAGGAACACCGAUGGCGAAGGCAGCCCCCUGGGUCAAGAUUGACGCUCAUGCACGAAAGCGUGGGGAGCAAACAGG